CCUGGUGGCUCAGAGGGUAAAGCGUCUGCCUGAAAUGCAGGAGACCUGGGUUUGAUCCCUGGGCCAGGA
rnacentral:tRNA from 1 species